ACAUGCAAGUCGAACGAAGUAGCAAUACUUAGUGGCGAACGGGUGAGUAUAAUAUGGGUAUCUGCCUUUUGGUUUGGAAUAACACGGGGAAACUUGUGCUAAUACCAGAUAAGCCUUCACAGGGAAAGCUUUAGCGCCAAAAGAUGAGCCCAUACUUGAUUAGCUAGUUGGUAAGGUAAAAGCUUACCAAGGCUACGAUCAAUAGCUGAUCUGAGAGGAUGAUCAGCCACAUUGGGACUGAGACACGGCCCAAACUCCUACGGGAGGCAGCAGUGGGGAAUCUUGCACAAUGGGGGAAACCCUGAUGCAGCGAUGCCGCGUGAGUGAAGAAGGCCUUUGGGUUGUAAAGCUCUUUCGUCGGGGAAGAAAAUGACUGUACCCGAAUAAGAAGGUCCGGCUAACUUCGUGCCAGCAGCCGCGGUAAUACGAAGGGACCUAGCGUAGUUCGGAAUUACUGGGCUUAAAGAGCUCGUAGGUGGUUAAGAAAGUUGGUGGUGAAAUCCCAAGGCUCAACCUUGGAACUGCCACCAAAACUUUUUGACUAGAGUAUGAUAGAGGUAAGUGGAAUUUCUAGUGUAGAGGUGAAAUUCGUAGAUAUUAGAAAGAACACCAAUUGCGAAGGCAACUUUCUGGAUCAUUACUGACACUGAGGAGCGAAAGCAUGGGUAGCGAAGAGGAUUAGAUACCCUCGUAGUCCAUGCUGUAAACGAUGUGUGUUAGACGUUGGAAAUUUAGUUUUCAGUGUCGCAGCAAAAGCGUUAAACACACCGCCUGGGGAGUACGACCGCA
rnacentral:rRNA from 1 species